AUGAGCACUUUGCAAGCGCACGGCUCGUCGGUCCCCCGCAGGCUGCAGAGGAACAGGACUACAGGGAUGGUUACAGACAGAGCCACAGAAGCCAGCCUGCUCCCUGACCUUGAGGAAGUGUGCAGGUGCAGGAGCAGGCGCAGGCGGGGAGGAGCGCUCUCUGCGUGCACCUGUGCGUCUCGGUCCGCACCUGGGUGUGGGAGCCUUGCUCGCCUGGGUGGUGGGGCGCCCCUUUCCCACUCACACCCCCACCUCCGCGCAGCCCACACCACUGGAGCCCAUGGUGUACACAGGGAGCAGGCACUGUGCCCACAGUGCUCGCAGAUGAACACUGGGGCCCGCAGGAGGGCGAGGCCAAGCGGAUGCAAGGAGAUGAGUCCAAAUAAAUGUCCCAUUCCCCUCCGCCUUAAGGGUCUCCCUUCGCCGUGGCCACCAGCUGGACUCCGACCUAGGGGCCUCAGGCAACGGUGUUGUGUGACCUUGGACAACUCACGGACCCUAGACCCCUGGCCAUUCAGACAGCCUGAAUGCAGUACCGACGGCUUCGGGGUGCAGGGGUCAUUUCCCGGACCCCGGCGGGGACAGAGGUCUCUGCUGCAGUCGGGGCGCGGAGCACUCUGGGACUUGUGGUUCCGGGGGCUCCCCCGAAGGCAGGCACUACUUGGAUCGGCGCAGGUCCGGCUCCCGGAUCGGGGGCAAACGAGGUCCGGCAGGGCGGGCGCGCUCAGAGGCCUCGCUGGAAACCCCUGCGCUGCUCUGCUAGCCAGCGACCGCCCUCUGUCGCUGUGUGCUCGCUGGCCCCGCGCCUGGGGCGCUCGGCGCAGAGUCGAGGCCCGGCGUUACCUGGGGCUGCGGCGGGGCUCUACCCCUCGCGACUCGGCGGCAGGAGCGCCACUCCCGCUGCAGCUCGGGCUCCGGGGCAGCCGCGGCCCGGGCGCCGCCUGCGCGACCCCUUCCUGGGCUGGCGCAGUGAACUGUCCGCGGACUUUACCAACAGCACGCGCGCGGGGGCCCAAGCCGGCUGCGCGUCUCCAGGACCGCCCACCCCCGCCCCCGCGCCAAUGGAUCCGCUUGGACUGCACCAAGCGCGCGCGAUGGGGGGGGGGAGCCCGGCGGGAGUGGGUGCGGCGUCUUUCGACCACGCCCACUCUGCGUCGGGCGGCAAAGGGCGCGCAAGGGCAGAGUGCCCAGCGCUUUUGGGCAUUCCUGCUGCUCGCUUCUGGCUUCGGUGACCUUGGCCGAGUAGCCGACUCAGGGACAAUUGUACGAGUCCGUGGUCGUUCAGAGAAUCUUCGCCUGCCGGAGAACUUAGUCCUUCCCCCAGUCUCGGAAUGGGGGCGGGCAGGAAGGCAAAGGACAGGCUCUGCGGUCUGCAGCUCCUGGCUCCCCGCUUUGGGCCGUUCUCUGAGCCUGUAUUUCGGCUGCCUUCAGGAGGAAGUUGCGAGACUCCAGGAGCGAGACGAGGCGGUGGCCCAGACGCCGAGAGCGGGUUGGCUUUCCGCACCGCUGUGUGCGGGUCGCUGGAGCCGAGCCGAGCCCAGCCCGCGCGCCUGCAGGGGCUGCUCCGGGGGCUGA
ensembl:lncRNA